rnacentral:rRNA from 1 species
GAUGAACGCUGGCGGCGUGCCUAAUACAUGCAAGUCGAGCGAACAGACGAGGAGCUUGCUCCUCUGACGUUAGCGGCGGACGGGUGAGUAACACGUGGAUAACCUACCUAUAAGACUGGGAUAACUUCGGGAAACCGGAGCUAAUACCGGAUAAUAUAUUGAACCGCAUGGUUCAAUAGUGAAAGACGGUUUUGCUGUCACUUAUAGAUGGAUCCGCGCCGCAUUAGCUAGUUGGUAAGGUAACGGCUUACCAAGGCGACGAUGCGUAGCCGACCUGAGAGGGUGAUCGGCCACACUGGAACUGAGACACGGUCCAGACUCCUACGGGAGGCAGCAGUAGGGAAUCUUCCGCAAUGGGCGAAAGCUUGACGGAGCAACGCCGCGUGAGUGAUGAAGGUCUUCGGAUCGUAAAACUCUGUUAUUAGGGAAGAACAAAUGUGUAAGUAACUAUGCACGUCUUGACGGUACCUAAUCAGAAAGCCACGGCUAACUACGCG